rnacentral:tRNA from 1 species
GUUGUUAUGGCGAAAUUGGUAGACACGCUGCUCUUAGGAAGCAGUGCUAGAGUAUCUUGGUUCGAGUCUGAGUAGCCACA